UUGAACGCUGGCGGCAGGCCUAACACAUGCAAGUCGAACGGUAACAGGAAACAGCUUGCUGUUUCGCUGACGAGUGGCGGACGGGUGAGUAAUGUCUGGGAAACUGCCUGAUGGAGGGGGAUAACUACUGGAAACGGUAGCUAAUACCGCAUAACGUCGCAAGACCAAAGAGGGGGACCUUCGGGCCUCUUGCCAUCGGAUGUGCCCAGAUGGGAUUAGCUUGUUGGUGGGGUAACGGCUCACCAAGGCGACGAUCCCUAGCUGGUCUGAGAGGAUGACCAGCCACACUGGAACUGAGACACGGUCCAGACUCCUACGGGAGGCAGCAGUGGGGAAUAUUGCACAAUGGGCGCAAGCCUGAUGCAGCCAUGCCGCGUGUAUGAAGAAGGCCUUCGGGUUGUAAAGUACUUUCAGCGGGGAGGAAGGGAGUAAAGUUAAUACCUUUGCUCAUUGACGUUACCCGCAGAAGAAGCACCGGCUAACUCCGUGCCAGCAGCCGCGGUAAUACGGAGGGUGCAAGCGUUAAUCGGAAUUACUGGGCGUAAAGCGCACGCAGGCGGUUUGUUAAGUCAGAUGUGAAAUCCCCGGGCUCAACCUGGGAACUGCAUCUGAUACUGGCAAGCUUGAGUCUCGUAGAGGGGGGUAGAAUUCCAGGUGUAGCGGUGAAAUGCGUAGAGAUCUGGAGGAAUACCGGUGGCGAAGGCGGCCCCCUGGACGAAGACUGACGCUCAGGUGCGAAAGCGUGGGGAGCAAACAGGAUUAGAUACCCUGGUAGUCCACACCGUAAACGAUGGAUACUAGGUGUCGGGGCCGUAUAGGCUUCGGUGCCGCCGCAAACGCAGUAAGUAUUCCACCUGGGGAGUACGUUCGCAAGAAUGAAACUCAAAGGAAUUGACGGGGGCCCGCACAAGCGGUGGAGCAUGUGGUUUAAUUCGAUGCAACGCGAAGAACCUUACCUGGUCUUGACAUCCACGGAAGUUUUCAGAGAUGAGAAUGUGCCUUCGGGAACCGUGAGACAGGUGCUGCAUGGCUGUCGUCAGCUCGUGUUGUGAAAUGUUGGGUUAAGUCCCGCAACGAGCGCAACCCUUACUGUUAGUUGCUACGCAAGAGCACUCUAGCAGGACUGCCGUUGACAAAACGGAGGAAGGUGGGGAUGACGUCAAAUCAUCAUGCCCCUUAUGUUCUGGGCUACACACGUGCUACAAUGGCGCAUACAAAGAGAAGCGACCUCGCGAGAGCAAGCGGACCUCAUAAAGUGCGUCGUAGUCCGGAUUGGAGUCUGCAACUCGACUCCAUGAAGUCGGAAUCGCUAGUAAUCGUGGAUCAGAAUGCCACGGUGAAUACGUUCCCGGGCCUUGUACACACCGCCCGUCACACCAUGAGAGUUGGGGAUACCCGAAGCCUGUGAGCCAACAGUUAAAUGAGGCAGCAGUCGAAGGUAGAAUCAAUGAUUGGGGUG
rnacentral:rRNA from 1 species